UACGUAGGGACCAAGCGUUGUCCGGAAUCAUUGGGCGUAAAGAGCGUGUAGGCGGCUUGUUAAGUCUUGCGUGAAAUCUCGGGGCUCAACCCCGAGCGGUCGUGAGAAACUGGCAGGCUAGAGUGCGGGAGAGGAGAGUGGAAUUCCUGGUGUAGCGGUGAAAUUCGUAGAUAUUCGGAAGAACACCAGUGGCGAAGGCGGCUCACUGGCCCGAUACUGACGCUGAGGUGCGAAAGCGUGGGGAGCAAACAGG
rnacentral:rRNA from 1 species